rnacentral:rRNA from 1 species
UACGUAGGGAGCAAGCGUUGUUCGGAUUUACUGGGCGUAAAGGGCGCGUAGGCGGCCAUCUAAGUCAGACGUGAAAUCCCCCGGCUUAACCUGGGAACUGCGUCUGAUACUGGACGGCUUGAGUAUGGGAGAGGGAUGUAGAAUUCCAGGUGUAGCGGUGAAAUGCGUAGAUAUCUGGAGGAAUACCGGUGGCGAAGGCGGCAUCCUGGACCAUUACUGACGCUGAGGCGCGAAAGCUAGGGGAGCAAACGGG